GAUGAUGGUGGCUGGUCCUGCACUGCUGUACCUAGGAAGAUAACUCCCAAAUUGAGUACACAAGAGGAAUUUAGCAUCAAGUAAUACUCGACUGUACACUCCUACUUGUAUACUCUACUCCUUGACAGCAUUAAUGUGGUUGCCAGGAGUUCACAGCGGAGGAUGCCCGAAGCGCGAUGAUCCACCGUCAACACCACCUCGUUUAAUGUCGACUCUUGCACCUGUGGGAGACGAUGUGGGUGAUGCGAGUGCUGACGUACAGGUCGUGACAGCCCUAUACAGGUCGUGACAGUCCUAUGCAGGUCGUGACAGUCCUAUGCAGGUCGUGACAGUCCUAUACAGGUUAUAUACAGGUCAUGAAGGCUAUAUACAGGUCAUGAAGACUAUAUUUAAGGUUUCUAUAAUAAUUUUUGUAUUGGUAUAAAUGAUUCCUUAGAAGAAGACGGCAUUCAGUGACUCUUAGACCAGUUUAUAAUAAUAUUUCUGGGUACUGAUGAGUGGCGGGUGCGGGCCAGAUGGUGAGGCGUCGACCAAAACACGACCAAGUAAUCAAAGAAAGUGGUACAGUAUCUUUGCCUGACUUCCCUAAACUGCAGCCAGCCAGCCGUUCCACAACACCUGCCCUAGCCGCUGCUUCACUUCACCUCAAUGAAUUAAUAAUCCGUCAUCUUCACUACCGCUGCUGUCAACCCCUAUACAGUGCCGCUCCAGCCAACCCCUACAGUGCCGCUCCAGCCAACCCCUAUACAGUGCCGCUCCAGCCAACCCCUAUACAGUGCCGCUUCUGUCGUCACUGCUACCGCUGCCACCCCCUCUCACGUCACUGCACUAAGAGAUAACACCAAAGACUCUUAUACUAUACGGAAGAUCAUGUAAGAUGCAGUAUUGUGGAGAGAGAUGUUCCUACCUCACCCUUCCUCAGCCUCAGUGACUCCGUGUGUAAGGGAGCAAGAGCGACAUCUGUGGCGAUCUGAUGAACUAUCGGACUUAAAGUGAAUACCAAGAACAUAAUGGGCAGGUACAUCACGGCCCUUGAGAGAGACACUGGGUACUUGACUGACGAAGUUGUGGUUUUCUCUCUCUUUUCAAAUCAAUUUUCCGGGCGCAGAACGUCAACAAAUUGCCCGCCAGUUACAACAAAAGCCGCGCUCCAGGGAGUUUGAAAGAGACCAUCCAAUAUUUCCUAAAGUGAACCAAAGCACGAAGCUAAUCAGGUUGAUUGCCCCC